rnacentral:tRNA from 1 species
GCCCGUGUAGCUCAAUUGGAUAGAGCACCAGUCUUCGGAACUGGUGGUUGCAGGUUCGAGUCCCGCCGCGGGCA